rnacentral:tRNA from 1 species
GCCUGGGUGGCUCAGUUGGUUAAGCGUCUGACUUUAGCUCAGGUCAUGAUCUCAAGGUUUGUGAGUUCGAGCCCCACCUUGGGCU